GAAAGAGGACUCGAUACAGUAUUAGGGACCCAAGGUCUAUAAAACGCGACUUCAGAGACAGUAGUAGGAGACCACUAAGGUCUAUAUAAAAGAGACUUCAGAUACAGUAUUAGGGACCACUACGGUCUAUAUAAAAGAGACUUCAGAUACAGUAUUAGGGGAACACUCAGGCCUAGAUAAAAGAGACUUCAGAUAUCAGUAUUAGGGGACACUAAGGUCUAUAUGAAACGAGCGUCCGAUACAGUCUAGGGGACACUAAUACGGUCUAUAU